GCUUACGGCCAUACCAGCCUGAAUACGCCCGAUCUCGUCCGAUCUCGGAAGCUAAGCAGAGUCGGGCCUGGUUAGUACUUGGAUGGGAGAACCGCCUGGGAAUACCAGGUGCUGUAAGCU
rnacentral:rRNA from 1 species